UUCCAAUAUAAUUUGUUUUAGAUGUGUUCUUGAAGGUUCUUUUAAAUGUAUCAAGCAAAGCGUAUCAAGGAUGUAUCAAAUCUUUCUUCCUUACUCACAUAUGUACUAGAUUAAUUGAGUUAAUAACAUUAGCACUUCCAUAUGGCCUCAAUGGCUUUGUAAGCAUCAAAAUAACACUAGGAUCUUCAAUCUCUCUCUUUUUGAUGAUUACAAAACAUUGAGUAUAAGCAAAUUGAUAUUCAUGUGAGAAGUAAGGUUUAAUGUAUAAAAAAUGCUUUUCGUGUAAAAGUUUCAAAUAGUCCAAUUUAGAGAAUGUAUCAAUGAACCAAAAGCUCCCCCUAUCUUAUCCAAGUAGAAUGCCUAAUGAAUUUUAGCUUUGCUCCCCCGUAAAGCAAGAGUUUCAAGCUAUGUAUCGAGGCAAGAAAAAUCUCUAUGAUUAUGUGCCAGAUUCAGAUUUUCUCUUUGUCAAAUGUCUCCCCCUUUAGUGUAUAAUACAUGUCUCCCCCUUAAGUAUGCAAUAUAUACCUUUUAUAUUUUCUCCCCUAUACUGUUUUUCUUAUAGAAUUUGCUUCUAGUUUCUUCCUUAUAUUUUCUCUCCCUUUUUGUUAUCAUCAAAAAUAAUGAAUAAC
rnacentral:lncRNA from 1 species